rnacentral:rRNA from 1 species
UACGUAGGUGGCUAGCGUUGUCCGGAUUUACUGGGCGUAAAGAGCGCGCAGGCGGUCGUUCAAGUCGAGUGUGAAAGCCCCCGGCUCAACUGGGGAGGGUCACUCGAUACUGAUCGACUCGAAGGCAGGAGAGGUAAGUGGAAUUCCUAGUGUAGCGGUGAAAUGCGUAGAGAUUAGGAAGAACACCAGUGGCGAAGGCGACUUACUGGACCGUAACUGACGCUGAGGCAUGAAAGCGUGGGGAGCAAACAGG